UGCCCUAUCUAGUCCACUGUGGGAUUGAUGUGCUGGUCGGUCUAGUGCACUAACCUCUGAUGCUCUCUUCCUUCCUAACGCUGCCCCUUCAGCCCCUCUGGCAUGUUUGAUUAUGACUUUUGAGUAAGUCUCAGUUUUACUUCCUGUUUCUCACUCCCAUGUCUUCUGUCCGUUAGCUGAGUAGGGCCGUCCACGUCGUGUGGAUGAAUGCUGUGCUGCUUGCUUCUACCUCAUCAUUCGCAGAUGUUGCUGCAGUUUUGAUUUGGUUUUGUAUUUAUUUUUCAGCUGCAUGCUUGUGGAGUUCAUAGACAUGUUGGGUUUUAGUUGCAUGCAGAGUUUUAAAUGGGUUCCUUAGUUUAUCUGACGAUGAUGGAGUUGAUUUGUUUUCUCCUUACAGAUUUAACAGAUAAACAAGAAACCCAGAGCGGAUUACUCGGCCUAACGGAUCUCCUCAGUUUCACUCACAGACAUUCACACAAACCUCUUCAGUCAGUCCUGAUUCUCUCCGGUUCAGAACGUCUGGAUCUUCCCCAGUAUUUCUCCACUCUUGUGUUUGCUUCUUUCCUGACCGUAGUGAAGCUCUCAAGUGAUUUUUAGUCUCUGAUGGAUUCAGAUCCUGUUAUCGCAUAAUAUGUAUUU